UGUUACAGCUUUUAUGGCUAACAGUGGAUCAGAGUCACUAUUUUUCAUUCAUGGUGUGGCUGCUGAUAGAAGUAGCAGGAUGAAUUCUGUGUGCAGUGCUGCACUCAGAUUCAGGCAGGUGGGGCCCAACCCAGUACUAGUGAGCUAUUGUUAAUGAAGUUUAUGAUUCCUGCGGCUUCUUUUGUGACCAUAUUGCGCAAGUGCUAAGAACAUUUUGCGCAUGUGCAGAAGUGCACAUGAAUGAGAGUAACAUUGAGUCCUCUCAAAGUGACCUGAACUUCUCAAGAGGGCAGGGGCUUCAGUACCAUCCUACUCGCUUUCUGAGAAACUGAAACUGAAGAGCUGAACAAAGCCUAUUUAACCUGUCCUCCUCACACAUCGUGUACUUCUUUCUUACUUCUCACCAUGAAACUUCUUGGAGCUCUGAUCCUGGUUUUGAGUUUGUCCACAGCAUGUGGAUUACAAUGCUACAUAUGUGGACUCUCUGACCCUCACUCCUGCACUGAUGUCUUAAGUUGUCCUACCGGUAUGGACAAAUGUUUCAGCCUCACUGUAAGCGGUACCGUCUCUAAGGGCUGCAUAAACAGUGCCUUAUGUGUCAGUCCUAUGAGCUGCUGUGAAGGGAACUUGUGCAACAGUGCUAUACCAAGUGGUCCCAGUGCUAUGCUCCUGCUGGUGUCUUCAGCCAUAAUCACCGUCUUCCUCUGAAGCUCUGGAACAACUACAUCUUAAUCAUGUUUUACUUUGUUCUUAACCAAAAAUUACAAUCCAGGAAUAUUUUUUUUUAAAAUUAACAAUGUAAAUGAUGUUAGUUACUGUACUGUUGGAUAUAUUUUCAAUAUAAUCAGAAUAAUGCUUUGAAUUGUUUAAUUAAAUAAAAAUAAAACAGAUUUGUUGUUGCUGUAAAUUUAAAAAAAGGACAGAUAAAUUAUGAGCAUUUCAUAUAAAUUAUGUGCCUGGCUGAUAAAGAUGGACAAAGUUCACUUUAAGGUUUUCAAACUCCAUAAUGCUUUGGACAAAGAUGCAAUUUUUGUAGUUUUACCACAGUUUUACCCACAGUUGAUUUUAAAUCAGUCAAUAUGUGACUGAAGUGCAGGCAUCCAGCUUUCUUUGAAGGAGGUAGGACUAUCAUUGUCAAAGUCGAGGUACCUGAUAGUCAAGAGACAGCUUCAUGAAUACAGUAUAUAUACUGAGAAUUUACAACAAAGUGCAAACAGCUAGUUACACUUAAGAAAAGGAGGGUUGAAUUAGACUUUGCCAAAAAACAUCUAAAGGAGUCUGCACAGUCUGAAAAAAUCUUAUGCAGAUGAAACCAAAGUGAACUCAUACCAGAAUGAUGAGAAGAGAGAUUAUGAACCUGUUUGCACUUCGGUAAGUGCACCACACAUUUAUGGGGCUAACAAUAAAUUCCAGUUCUGGACAUGAUUUAGAGGAGACUG